AUUGAACGCUGGCAGCAGGCUUAACACAUGCAAGUCGAGCGCGCGGCGGACGGGUGAGUAAUGUCUGGGACACUGCCUGAUGGAGGGGGAUAACUCAUGUAAACGGUAGCUAAUACCGCAUACCAUCAGAUGUGCCCAGAUGGGAUUAGUUACUAGGUGGGGUAAUGGCUCACCUCGGCGACGAUCCCUAGCUGGUCUGCGAGGAUGACCAGCCACACUGGACCGGAGUCACGGUCCAGACUCCUACGGGAGGCAGAAGUGGGGAAUAUUGCACAAUGGGCGCAAGCCUGAUGCAGCCAUGCCGCGUGUGUGAAGAAGGCCUUCGGGUUGUAAAGCACUUUCAGCGAGGAGGCGUUACUCGCAGAAGAAGCACCGGCUAACUCCGUGCCAGCAGCCGCGGUAAUUC
rnacentral:rRNA from 1 species